UUGUUUUCCUCAGUAAAUAUUAGCAAUAACUUAAAUGUUUAUAAGAUUCAUCUCAUGGAUUCUUGGGGAUAUGCAUGGAAUCAGGUACAGACAGUGCAAAGGUGGUGUGCCUAGUGAGCUUGGAUGUAUCAAACAGCUGUAAGAAAAUCUCUCCAACCUUCUCUGAAUAAAGGAGGAAUGUGGUGUUUAUUGAGGAACAGGCAACCCUUACAUUUGAAUAAAAGAUGCCAUAUACUGAAAGUGGACUCACAGAGGGCUGUGUUCCAGUGGACAUGUUAUUCAUUCCGUCUAAGCAGAAGGAUUCCAACCUCACUUACUAACUAGCUGAAGAAACGUUUCCCUAGAGAUUUCAUUCCAAAUGGUAGGUUCCUUAAGGCACACCUAAGCUAGCAGGCGAUCUUUUUCUCCAUGUCCAUCUCAUAUAUUCUAGGAAUUAAAGUUCAAAAUCUGUUUUUU
ensembl:lncRNA novel transcript, antisense to NAB1